rnacentral:rRNA from 1 species
GGUUCGAUCAUGGCUCAGAUUGAACGCUGGCGGGGAUGCUUUACACAUGCAACUCGAACGGCAGCACGGACUUCGGUCUGGUGGCGAGAGUGGCGAACGAAUUGAGUAAUGUAUCGGAACGUGCCUAGUAGCGGGGAUAACCACGCGAAAGCGUAGCUAAUACCGCAUACGCCCUUCGAGGAAAGCGGGGGACCUUCGGGCCUCGCACUAUUAAAACGGCCGAUAUCGGAUUAGCUAGUUGGUGAGGUAACGGCUCACCAAGGCGACGAUCCGUAGCUGGUUUGAGAGGACGACCAGCCACACUGGGACUGAGACACAGCCCAGACUCCUGCAGGAGGCAGCAGUGGGAAUUUUGGACAAUGGAAACCUGAUCCAGCCAUCCCGCGUGUGCGAUGAAGGCCUGGUUGUAAAGCACUUUUGGCAGGAAAGAAACGGCGCGGGAUAAUACCCGUGCAACUGACGGUACCUGCAGAAUAAGCACCGGUAACUACGUGCCAGCAGCCGCUGACAAUACGGCGUAGGGUGCGGCGGUAAUCGGAAUUACUGGGCGUAAAGCGUGCGCAGGCGGUUCGGAAGAAAGAUGUGAAAUCCCAGAGCUUAACUUUGGAACUGCAUUUUUAACUACCGAGCUAGAGUGUGUCAGAGGGAGGUGGAAUUCCGCGUGUAGCAGUGAAAUGCGUAGAUAUGCGGAGGAACACCGAUGGCGAAGGCAGCCUCCUGGGAUAACACUGACGCUCAUGUACGAAAGCGUGGGGGAGCAAACAGGAUUAGAUACCCUGGUAGUCCACGCCCUAAACGAUGUCAACUAGCUGUUGGGGCCUUCGGGCCUUGGUAGCGCAGCUAACGCGUGAAGUUGACCGCCUGAAGUACGGUCGCAAGAUUAAAACUCAAAGAAAUUGACGGGGACCCGCACAAGCGGUGGAUGAUGUGGAUUAAUUCGAUGCAACGCGAAAAACCUUACCUACCCUUGACAUGUCUGGAAUCGAAGAGAUUUGGGAGUGCUCGCAAGAGAACCGGAACACAGGUGCUGCAUGGCUGUCGUCAGCUCGUGUCGUGAGAUGUUGGGUUAAGUCCGCAACGAGCGCAACCCUUGUCAUUAGUUGCUACGAGGCACUCUAAUGCAGGACUGCCGGUGACAAACCGGAGGAAGGUGGGGAUGACGUCAAGUCCUCAUGGCCCUUAUGGGUAGGGCUUCACACGUCAUACAAUGGUCCGGGACAGAGGGUCGCCAACCCGCGAGGAGCCAAUCCCAGGAAACCCGAUCGUAGUCCGGAUCACGCAGUCUGCUCGACUGCGUGAAGUCGGAAUCGCUAGUAAUCGCGGAUCAGCAUGUCGCGGUGAAUACGUUCCGGGUCUUGUACACACCGCCCGUCACACCAUGGGAGUGGGUUUUACCAGAAGUAGUUAGCCUAACCGUAAGGAGGGCGAUUACCACGGUAGGAUUCAUGACUGGGGUGAAGUCGUAACAAGGUAA